rnacentral:rRNA from 1 species
CUACGGGGCGCUGCAGUGGGGAAUAUUGGGCAAUGGAGGAAACUCUGACCCAGCGACGCCGCGUGAGGGAUGAAGGCCUUCGGGUUGUAAACCUCUUUCAGUAGGGAAGAAGCGAAAGUGACGGUACCUACAGAAGAAGCACCGGCUAACUAUGUGCCAGCAGCCGCGGUAAUACAUAGGGUGCAAGCGUUGUCCGGAAUUAUUGGGCGUAAAGAGCUCGUAGGUGGUUCGAUACGUCGGAUGUGAAAAUCAGGGGCUCAACCCCUGACCUGCAUUCGAUACGGUCGAGCUGGAGUUUGGUAGGGGAGACUGGAAUUCCUGGUGUAGCGGUGAAUGCGCAGAUAUCAGGAGGAACACCGAUGGCGAAGGCAGGUCUCUGGGCCAAUACUGACACUGAGGAGCGAAAGCGUGGGGAGCGAACAGGAUUAGAUACCCGGGUAGUC